AUUGAACGCUGGCGGCAUGCCUUACACAUGCAAGUCGAACGGCAGCACGGGAGCAAUCCUGGUGGCGAGUGGCGAACGGGUGAGUAACGCGUAUGUAACCUACCCUUCUCCGGGACAUAACUCCGCGAAAGCGGUGCUAAUAUCCCAUACCAACUCAUCAAGACAUCUUCUUGAGUUGAAAGCAGCAAUGCGGUGAAGGAUGGGCAUGCGUCCCAUUAGCUGGUUGGUGAGGUAAUGGCCCACCAAGGCUACGAUGGGUAGGGGUUCUGAGAGGAAAGCCCCCCACACUGGUACUGAGACACGGUCCAGACUCCUACGGGGGGCAGCAGUGGGGAAUCUUCCACAAUGGGCGAAAGCCUGAUGGAGCGACGCCGCGUGAGCGAAGAAGGCCUCGGUUGUAAGACUCUGUCUGGAGGGACGAAGGAAGUAGACGGUACCGUCCGGAGGAAGCCACGGCUAACUACGUGCCACGCAGCCGCGGUAAACGAAUACUACGUA
rnacentral:rRNA from 1 species